rnacentral:rRNA from 1 species
UACGUAGGGGGCUAGCGUUGUCCGGAUUUAUUGGGCGUAAAGAGCGCGUAGGCGGCCGAGUAAGUCCGACGUGAAAUCUAGAGGCUCAACCUCCAGCGGUCGUUGGAAACUACUCGGCUAGAGUCCGGAAGAGGAGAGUGGAAUUCCUGGUGUAGCGGUGAAAUGCGCAGAUAUCAGGAGGAACACCGAUGGCGAAGGCAGGUCUCUGGGCCACUACUGACGCUGAGAAGCGAAAGCAUGGGGAGCGAACAGG